rnacentral:rRNA from 1 species
UACGUAGGUGGCAAGCGUUGUUCGGAAUUAUUGGGCGUAAAGGGCGCGUAGGCGGCCUGCUAAGUCGAACGUGAAAUCCCUGGGCUCAACCCAGGAACUGCGUCCGAUACUGGUUGGCUUGAAUUCGGGAGAGGGAUGUGGAAUUCCAGGUGUAGCGGUGAAAUGCGUAGAUAUCUGGAGGAACACCGGUGGCGAAGGCGACAUCCUGGACCGGUAUUGACGCUGAGGCGCGAAAGCCAGGGGAGCAAACGGG